ensembl:lncRNA ZRANB2-DT ZRANB2 divergent transcript
UGAAAUUUUAUGGAAUCCUAGAUUUCUCAUACCUAGGAAUAACAAUACAAGGGACAGAAUAGUUAGCAGUGUUCCUGUUGAAAGGUCCAAGUAUCUCCCUAGGCACAGAAAACACCCAAAUGAGCAAAGCAGACCUUGGUGGCCAGAGGGGAGCCCUCAGGUAGAGCUGCAGAUGCUGGCAGUUUGUGUUAGAAGGUUCCGGGGCUAAACAGAUGCCUAGAAUUAGCCACCAAAAGGUAAAUUGUAGACUCCACUCUUCAAGAAGCAGCAGAAGGAUUAGGAAUUCAAACAGUGCUAUUUUACGGUCAUAAGAACAGACAGUAUUUUUUUGGCGCAGCAAGAACUUCUUAGGCCAUAAAGCAUGACAGACCUCUUUUCCUUAUGCGCUGAAUUGAAGAAGUGCUGACUCUUUUGCUGAUGGAAGCUCUUCCACGAGUUCACGAAUGGAAAUAACAUCAAGAGUUUUUCAUCUUCUUAGUGUGCAAGAUGUCUGAGGAAUAGUCUUAGUGGAUUAUCCCAAACUUGACACAUUUUUUGCAAAAUGCUAUACAAAAAGAAGAUACAUGCGAUUAUGACAAGAUUCUCCACUUGGUGUGACCAGUCUCAUACAACCCAAGGCUGUGUGUCCAAAGGCAACUGUACUGAUCUUGACAAUAAUCAAAAGGUAGCCAGGUGCAUCGGGGAAAGCACUGACAUUGGAGU